CAAGAGAACAGAACAGUGCCAGUACUCCAGAAGCUUCCUCAUGACCCCUUGUGGUCACUAUCCUGUCCCACUUCCCUCUCCAAAAGAAGCCUUGAGCUGCCAUUUAAGAAGUCGGGCGACCCAGUUGGAGAAACCAUGUGGGAAGAACACACGGAGAGGGAAAGGUCCUAAGACUUCAUGAAGAAAGAAGAGCCCAGCUGUUCCAGCCAAGUCCAACUCACCAGUGAACAACAGGCAAGACCAGCAGAAGAGCUGCCCCGCUAAGCCCAUUCCAGAUUGCAUAACCAUGAAUAAAAAAAAUUGGGGGGGGGUUAGUUACCAGCAAUAGACAAUUGAAACAAAUGGCAACU
rnacentral:lncRNA from 10 species